UGGCGGCAGGCCUAACACAUGCAAGUCGAGCGAGAUCUUCGAGUCUAGCGGCGGACGGGUGAGUAACGCGUGGGAAUAUGCCUCUUGGUACGGAAUAGCCUCGGGAAACUGGGAGUAAUACCGUAUGUGCCCUUUGGGGGAAAGAUUUAUCGCCAAGAGAUUAGCCCGCGUUGGAUUAGGUAGUUGGUGGGGUAAUGGCCUACCAAGCCGACGAUCCAUAGCUGGUUUGAGAGGAUGAUCAGCCACACUGGGACUGAGACACGGCCCAGACUCC
rnacentral:rRNA from 1 species